CAGUAGCCGCGGUAAUACGUAGGGUGCGAGCGUUAAUCGGAAUUACUGGGCGUAAAGCGUGCGCAGGCGGUUGUGUAAGACAGGUGUGAAAUCCCCGGGCUUAACCUGGGAACUGCGCUUGUGACUGCACAGCUAGAGUAUGGCAGAGGGGGGUGGAAUUCCACGUGUAGCAGUGAAAUGCGUAGAGAUGUGGAGGAACACCGAUGGCGAGGGCAGCCCCCUGGGCCAAUACUGACGCUCAUGCACGAAAGCGUGGGGAGCAAACAGGAUUAGAUACCCCUGUAGUCCCUGUCUCUUAUAC
rnacentral:rRNA from 1 species